AUGGUAUUGAGUGUGACAAUAUCAAACUUCACAUUCAUUGCACCUAAUUUCUGGAACAUGGCUAUCGCUUCGUGUGCACAGUUAUUUCUAGAAAGGCCUUUAAGUGUUAUAUUGUAUAUGGGAAUGCCCACUGUUGUUCCACUUUCGAUCAUCUCAUGGAACAUUUUCCUUGCAACGACAAUUCUCCCGGCAUGA
rnacentral:rRNA from 1 species